rnacentral:rRNA from 1 species
UACGUAGGGUGCGAGCGCUGUCCGGAAUUAUUGGGCGUAAAGAGCUCGUAGGCGGUCUGUCGCGUCUGCUGUGAAAUCCCGAGGCUCAACCUCGGACUUGCAGUGGGUACGGGCAGACUAGAGUGUGGUAGGGGAGACUGGAAUUCCUGGUGUAGCGGUGGAAUGCGCAGAUAUCAGGAGGAACACCGAUGGCGAAGGCAGGUCUCUGGGCCAUUACUGACACUGAGAAGCGAAAGCAUGGGGAGCGAACAGG